AGCGCUGUCACCGGACGCGGCUUUCCCGGUUUCAGGUUGGACCAGAGGUUCACUAUUGUUUGUCUCUGUGGGGGACGCGGCCGCCAGGUGGUGCCAGAGAAACGUAUCUUUUUGGAUGCGUCUUGUUCGAACAGAGGAAUUGGUUAUUUUUCUUAUUCGGGUCCCAUUACCAGGAAGAGCUUUCAUUAGGAUUUUAAGAAGCCGCCCACCGAGUGUACUCGCGAAGAGAGGACUUCAAAAAGCGGUUGUGUAAUGUCUACGGUGGGAGCCAGGAAAAUGAGUCAGGAAAACAAAAGAAAAAAAAUAAACCUGAUGAUGUGGUCAGUUCAGUUUAUAUCAUAUUUGGUUUCCCCAAUUACCUGGGUAGGCGGCACGGUGGCGUGGUGGUUAGCACUGUUGCCUCACAGCAAGAAGGUCCUGGGUUCGAUUCCGCCCAGUGGCCUUUCUGUGUGGAGUCUGCAUGUUCUCCCCGUGUCUGCGUGGGUUCUCUCUGGGUUCUCUGGCUUCCUCCCACAGACAUGAUGCUCUGGGGAUCAGGUUAAUUGGGGACUUUAAAUUGUGAAUGGUUGUAUGUCUCUGUGUUAGCCCUGCGAUUGGCUGGCGACCAAUCCAGGAUGUACCCUGUCUAUCGCCCGAAGUUGGCUGGGAUGGACUCCAGCCCCCCCCCCCGCGACCCUGUGUGCAGGAUAAGUGGUUUGACAAUGGAUGGAUGCAUGGAUUACCUGGGCGGAGUCUGAUGGCUGCCUGCUGUCACACCUGUCCUGCAUAUACAAUUGUCAGGAACCCUUCUUAAGGAGCAGCAGGAGCACCAGUCUUCGCCAGAUCGUUUUGCCCUCCAAGCCUCGUCCCAGCCUGCUUCCACCUGAGCCCGACGGAUUCCCUGGCUUCCCCCUCGCCCUCCGCGGCUCGGGAGAAUCCCCUCCAGCCAGACGGAUCAUUGCCUCUCCCUCCAGCGUGGCUUCCAUCAAUUGUAUUGCUCCUGCCGCCCGGACCCUUGUGCCUGCCUGCUUCUCCAGCGUCUCCCCCCGGCCACGGAUUCAGCGCUACCUAUUUAAAUCCAUUUGCUGCCGAAAAUAA
ensembl:lncRNA